rnacentral:rRNA from 1 species
AGUGAACGCUGGCGGCGUGCCUAAUACAUGCAAGUCGAACGAAGUGGCGCACGGGUGAGUAAUAUAUAGUUCAUCUGCCCUACACAGAGGAACAACAGUUGGGAACGACUGCUAAUACCUCAUAGUGUAGGAUGAGCCUAUAUCGUAUCAGCUAGUUGGUAAGGUAAAGGCUUACCAAGGCUAUGACGCGUAACUGGUCUGAGAGGAUGAUCAGUCAGAUUGUAACUGCGACACGGACUAAGCACCGACGGGAGGGAGUAGUGAUGAAUAGUGUGGAAGGGGGGAAAGCUUGACGGAGCAACGUUUCGUUGAGCAUGACUGUUUUCGGAGCGGAAACUGGCGUUAGCAGGAAAGCGGUACCUUAUGAAUAAGCACCGGCUAACUCCGUGCCAGCAGCCGCGGUAAUAC